GAUGAGGAGAAUGAGCGUAAGGAGUUGCUGGGUGUGGCCUUCAGUAGGAUAAUGAGGAUGGAAGCUGGCAGUGGUGACCACAUCAAGACGUGGCACCACAACACAAUGAAGGCCCGGAACGUGAACACACGAUGAUCCGCUUUGAGGAGGACAGUGGGGCAUUCUCUUGCCUCACAGCAGACUGCAAGAAACAAGAUCCUUCAACCCCAAUCACAGGAAGAGGCAGGAGGGAUGCGGCAGACAGCAGAUGAUGGCAGGUGACGGCAGCCUCGUGGUUCUCUUCCCUGUUCCUUGGUGGCGCUGCUUCACUCCUUACCGCCUGGUGUCCCCGCUCGGCUCUUUUCACGACUCGCAACGAGGGAGAAAGGUCGAAGUGCGGUGGUCUCGUGGCGGAAGGCUGAAGGAGGCGGUGAAGGAGUGAAGGUGUGAAGUGUGCAGCUUCCACUUCAUCAUCCCAUGAACAGCCCACAGGAAUCUCUACCAGCACCUGGUUAUUAAACAGUGUUGUCACGCCAGGCCCAAUGUACUCCAUUGCAAUCAGGGAGUCAAGCUUCACCAGGAAAAGAGGCAGAGCGUCACCACCUUCAAGCCCCACAAGAGGUAUUAAGUAUCGUUGGGACAAAGCAAUCAGGGAAGAGUCAAGUUGCAGUAAGAAGAGUGUGUCAAGAAUUUCAAGCAGGAAGAACACGUAAAAUUCCCUUCAAGUCAUGGCGGGACCGACAGGCAACCUUCAACACUUGUGGAGGCACGAGAGCUGCAGGCAGUUUCACAAAGAAGAGGUUGCUCCUCACUCAAGUUGACGCAAGGACACAAGAAUUGGCAAGUGUUGUUGCUCCCAGGCCCUGCUGCAAGAGUUCUCCAGUCCACUCCAGUCUGGGAAGGAAGAAUAUAGCAAGUCCCUCUCUUCUGUACUCAACAACCACCACCACCACCUUCAUUCAGGCUUGGGAUAAGUUUUGUACAUUCCAGCACUUCAGUAAUAAGGAAAAAAAGUGCCAUGUUUAUAUUAUUGUUGUGUAUUUAUUCACUUAACAUUCACAUUAAAACAAUAAACAUUCAGUAUACCAUCUUGAACAUAA